rnacentral:tRNA from 1 species
GCACCUGUGGCUCAAUGGUAGAGGGUCAGACUUCUGAUCUGAAUGUUGUGAGUUCGAUCCUCACCAAGUGUA